UACGAAGUAGGCUUCCGCAAGGACACCUGUAGAGGUGCUGCAUGGCUGUCGUCAGCUCGUGUCGUGAGAUGUUGGGUUAAGUCCCGCAACGAGCGCAACCCUUGUCUUCUGUUGCCAUCGGGUCAAGCCGGGCACUCUGAAGAGACUGCCGGUGACAAACCGGAGGAAGGUGGGGAUGACGUCAAGUCAGCAUGGCCUUUAUGUCUGGGGCCACACACGUGCUACAAUGGCCGGUACAAACCGUCGCGAGCCCGCGAGGGGGAGCUAAUCGGAUAAAGCCGGUCUCAGUUCGGAUUGCAGGCUGCAACUCGCCUGCAUGAAGUUGGAAUCGCUAGUAAUCGCGGAUCAGCACGCCGCGGUGAAUACGUUCCCGGGCCUUGUACACACCGCCCGUCACAUCACGAAAGCUGGCUGUACUAGAAGUAGCUGCGCCAACCCGCAAGGGAGGCAGGUUCCUAAGGUAUGGUCAGUGAUUGGGGUGAAGUCGUAACAAGGUAACCGU
rnacentral:rRNA from 1 species